rnacentral:rRNA from 1 species
GAUGAACGCUGGCGGCGUGCCUAAUACAUGCAAGUAGAACGCUGAAGCUUGGUGCUUGCACCGAGCGGAUGAGUUGCGAACGGGUGAGUAACGCGUAGGUAACCUGCCUCUUAGCGGGGGAUAACUAUUGGAAACGAUAGCUAAUACCGCAUAAAAGACGAUAUCGCAUGAUAUUGAUUUGAAAGGUGCAAUUGCAUCACUAAGAGAUGGACCUGCGUUGUAUUAGCUAGUUGGUGAGGUAACGGCUCACCAAGGCGACGAUACAUAGCCGACCUGAGAGGGUGAUCGGCCACACUGGGACUGAGACACGGCCCAGACUCCUACGGGAGGCAGCAGUAGGGAAUCUUCGGCAAUGGGGGCAACCCUGACCGAGCAACGCCGCGUGAGUGAAGAAGGUUUUCGGAUCGUAAAGCUCUGUUGUAAGAGAAGAACGAGUGUGAGAGUGGAAAGUUCACACUGUGACGGUAACUUACCAGA